CCUACGGGAGGCAGCAGUAGGGAAUAUUGCUCAAUGGGGGAAAGCCUGAAGCAGCAACGCCGCGUGGAGGAUGAAGGUUCUAGGGUUGGUAACUCCUUUUUUUAGAGGAGAUUAUGACGGUACCUAACGAAUCAGCACCGGCUAACGCCGUGCCAGCAGCCGCGGUAAUACGGCGGGUGCAAGCGUUACUCGGAAUCACUGGGCGUAAAGGGUGCGUAGGCGGGGUAAUAAGUCAGAUGUGAAAGACUGUGGCUUAAAUACAGAACUGCAGUUGAAACUGUUAGCCUGGAGUGUGGGAGAGGUAGGUGGAAUUCGUGGUGUAGCGGUGAAAUGCGUAGAUAUCAAGAGGAAUACUCAUUGCGAAGGCAGCCUGCUGGAACAUUACUGACGCUGAUGCACGAAAGCGUGGGGAGCAAACAGGAUUAGAUACCCCUGUAGUC
rnacentral:rRNA from 1 species